UUGUCCCACCCUGCCCGUGGGGUGCUGACCACCCAUGGGACUUCGCGUGGUCCCUGGGGUGCCGGCGGGGCGCUGAGCAGCUGCCCCUGUGCUGCAGGCAGCUCUUUGAUCCAGUGAAGUGCAUCUCCUCUGACAGGCCCCUGGCCCUGGCCCCAGCGCCGUGAGUAGUGUGCAGCCCCCCCCAGGACAGACCCCCCCGCUGCAUUUCCACUAGAGACCACUGCCUGACUUUGCCUUCACAACCUCAUCUGCAGGCACCUGGUGACCAUCCGAAAGGCCAACCAGCUCCUCCAGCCCCAUCCAGCCAGCGCCGGCGGCUCCAACUGCCUGGCACAGCGGCUAGCGGGGAGGUGAGCCUUGCCAGGGAGAAGUGGGUAUUUUGGGCAUCAAUGGGAUCGUCCACAAAGGCAGGCUGAGCUCGCAGGCUGCCAACAGGACUGUCGCUGUGGACGCGGACUUCCCAGGUAAGGGAGCAGCCCCGGGGGCACCACGUUAGCUCCAGCCAGGCUGCACAGCCACCUGAAAUGGCAUGUCCCACCGUCAGUGCCUGGGACGGCCCAGAGCCCCACUGGGGCCGAGCCAUCAGCAGCCUUACAUCGCCCUGUGCUAACAGCGUCUCUGUUUCUCACCCCAAAGCAACAAAGACCCCCCAGCCCCGCUCCCGGCACGCUGCAGGAAAGAUGUGCCGUGUCCCCAAGUACGGCAGCCGCUGCAUGUCCCCAUACUCAUGUGCUGCCAUGCGGACAAAGACAGGCUCCGCAGGGGACCAGUGGCAGGCUGCCACGGGUGGCAGCAGGACGUCAGGUGUCUGAACUGGCCAGGGGGCUGGGAAAUGGCGCGGGGAUCUGGAGGGGGGGGGUGGGCAGGCGCACCAGGGCUGUGCUGCCUGCCUUCAGGGACUGGCAGAGUGGGAGUCCCACUGCCCCGACAGCCGCUCGUUGCAGUGGGGUAACACCGCGGGCCAUAAAGAUGCUCCCUCCUCUGCCGCCUCUCCUGCGCAGGCCCUGGGCUCGAGGGGCUGCAUGGGGCGUCCCCGGGGACUCGGCGAGCAGAGCCUGACGCUUUUGGGCUGUGCCAUGUCCCUGCGAGCUCUCUCUGACCAGUCAGAUGUUCAGGUCUGUGGUCUGGCCCUGGAUUUUCCAAUCCCAUGGGUCCUGGUGGCCCUGGGACAGUCACACGCAGGCUCCCCUUGCUACCACCCAGGUCUCCAUGUGGCUUCAACCACGUUUCACAGGCAGGUGCCUCCCUCCAAGGUUGAGGACAGAUCCCUUCUCCGUCUCCCCUGGGUGGGCUCUGUACUGCACACCCACUGCCUCGCAGACCAUCCCCACUCCCAGCAGGACUCCACGCUGGCCUUGAUGUGCUCAGGCCACCACAGUUGGAACACAAGGCCCCACGGCCCUGGCUCGCUGGAGAUGCCACCAGCUUGGUUCAGUCCACUUCGGUGGGGCAGGACCGAGGCACACAACUCCAACACAACCCCACGCAGGGAAGCUCACAAGCGCCAGCUCCAGCCCUUGCUCCCAGCCUCUGCUGAGGCUGUACAAGAGGCAGCCUGAGUGAAACCACCACUCCUACCAUGUUUAUUUUAGCAACACAAGUAAGAGAAUGAAAUUAAUUAUUGACUGGUGAGCACAGG